GCCAAAUGUGUGCUGGGAAAGGGAGUCUGAAACAGCGUUGGCGGCACUUGUGUAGUCCUGACACAAACCUCCCUCUCACCUGUAAGCAACGAGCUGAAAUACAGGAUAAAACUUUCACUGCCGAGAUGGAAGAUUUAGUCAGGAGCAACACAAACUAAAUCAUUACAUAUUUAGAAUUAAAAAAUUAUAAUAAUAACACAAUUAUUGUUUUAUUAAUUAUGUAAAACUGACUUGGUUCAAAAAAUAUGCAAGCACGUGUUUGAAAAAUAUCUCCUGCAGAAUAAAGACUAAUGGAUUAAAUGCUA